rnacentral:rRNA from 1 species
UACAGAGGAUGCAAGCGUUAUCCGGAAUGAUUGGGCGUAAAGGGUGCGUAGGCGGUCGGGUAAGUCUGAUAUGAAAUCUCACAGCUUAACUGUGAAACUGCAUUGGAUACUAUCCGGCUCGAGGAAUGGAGGGGAGACUGGAAUACUUGGUGUAGCAGUGAAAUGCGUAGAUAUCAAGUGGAACACCAGUGGCGAAGGCGAGUCUCUGGACAUUUCCUGACGCUGAGGCACGAAAGCCAGGGGAGCAAACGGG